GCCGGGCGUUGUGGCGGGCGCCUGUGGUCCCAGCUACUUGGGAGGCGGAGGCAGGAGACUCGCUUAAGCCCAGGAGUUGGAGGUUGCUGUGAGCUGUGAUGCCACGGCACUCUACCCAGGGGGACAGCUUGAGGCUCUGUCUCAAAAAAAAAAAAAAAAAGAAAGAAAAGAAAUACAAAAUCUUUUUUUGAGACAGAGUCUCACUCUGUCACUCUUGGUAGAGUGCUGUGGCACUGUAUCUCAUAGCAACCUCAAACUCUUGGGCUCAAGCGAUCCUCUUGC
rnacentral:sRNA from 1 species